UGAGUAACACGUGGAUAACCUACCUAUAAGACUGGGAUAACUUCGGGAAACCGGAGCUAAUACCGGAUAAUAUUUUGAACCGCAUGGUUCAAAAGUAAAAGACGGUCUUGCUGUCACUUAUAGAUGGAUCCGCGCUGCAUUAGCUAGUUGGUAAGGUAACGGCUUACCAAGGCAACGAUGCAUAGCCGACCUGAGAGGGUGAUCGGCCACACUGGAACUGAGACACGGUCCAG
rnacentral:rRNA from 1 species